GACGUAGGGCGCGAGCGUUGUCCGGAUUUAUUGGGCGUAAAGAGCUCGUAGGCGGCUUGUCGCGUCGACCGUGAAAACUUGGGGCUCAACCCCAAGCCUGCGGUCGAUACGGGCAGGCUCGAGUUCGGUAGGGGAGACUGGAAUUCCUGGUGUAGCGGUGAAAUGCGUAGAUAUCUGGAGGAAUACCGGUGGCGAAGGCGGCAUCCUGGACCGGCAUUGACGCUGAGGAGCGAAAGCCAGGGGAGCAAACGGG
rnacentral:rRNA from 1 species